rnacentral:hammerhead_ribozyme from 1 species
AUUCAGAUGACGAGUCCCAAAUAGAACGAAACGCGCAUCCUGGAU